GUGAACGCUGGCGGCAUGGUUAAGACAUGCAAGUCGAACGAAAAGCAUAACUUCGGUUAUGUGGAAAGUGGCGAACGGGUGCGUAACACGUGAGCAACCUGCCCUUGAGUAUGGAACAGCCCGCCGAAAGGCGGAGUUAAUGCCAUAUGUGGCCUUUCAUCGCAUGGUGAGAUGGCUAAAGCUUGUAAUGGCGCUCAAGGAUGGGCUCGCGGCCUAUCAGCUUGUUGGUGAGGUAAUAGCUCACCAAGGCUAAGACGGGUAGCUGGUCUGAGAGGAUGAUCAGCCACACCGGGACUGAGACACGGCCCGGACACCUACGGGUGGCAGCAGUUUCGAAUCAUUCACAAUGGGCGAAAGCCUGAUGGUGCAAUGCCGCGUGGAGGAUGACGGCCUUAGGGUUGUAAACUCCUGUCAUUGGGGAGCAAAAAGCAGGUUUAUAGCCUGCCCUGAGUUAACCCAAAGAGGAAGAGGUGGCUAACUCCGUG
rnacentral:rRNA from 1 species